CCUCAGCCUCCCAAAGUGCUGGGAUUACAGGCGUGAGCCACGGUGCCUGGCCAGCUUUAUUUUUUUUAAUAAGUAGGAGUAUACUCUAAAAUGACAGCAUAUAUUUAUUAUCAUUAUAAGUAUUAUGUACUGUACAUAACUGUAUGUGCUAGACUUUUGCAUAACUAGCAGUGCAGUAGGUUUGUUCCACCAGUAUCUCCCCAAACACAUGAGUAACGUGUUGCACUGUGAUGUUACAACAGUUACAACGUCACUAGUUGAUAGUAAUGUUUCAGCUCCAUUAUCAUCUAUGGGACCACCAUUGUGUACGAAGUCCAUGGUUGAUGGAAAUGUUGUCAUUAUGCGGUGCAUGACUAUAUGUUAUAGAUUAUGUAAGGGUAAUUGAGUUCCAAGUUCCAAGUCAAAAAAUGUUUGGAACACAACUCCUUUGCUAGCAAAUUAGACACUUAUAGUAGCUAGUUCCCAGGGAAGUCCCCUGAAAUACUUUAAGGGCGUGAAUCAUUGCUGAGCCAGAGAGCAUGUAGGAGAAGGCUCCUGGGUCUCAUGUGAAGCUGGAGGGGUGCCUGCCCUAGAGAUUCCGACCCUGCCUGAGGAACCCAUUCAUCCCAUCUGGCUGAGACCUUGGUGGAUCCAGGACAGCUCAGCAUGCUGACAGUCAGGGACAGGAGAGCCAGGGACCGCAAGGUCCCAUUCAGCCUUGGUGCGAUUCAGGCCCAGUUGGGUGUCUGGUGCUAGGACUAGGUGCUUUCGGAGGGAGAUGGGAAUUGACUCAUGGGCAGCAGCCCGUGGCAAUGGCAGAAACAACCUCGGGGCUGGAAACAGAAGCUGUAAUUACAGGAGAAAACACCCACAAUGAAUUCCAAAAGAUGACCCUUUUGCUCCCUAGAACCAGGGAGGGAAAGGAAGGGGAUGCAUGAUAUCCUGGUAAAAACAGGGCAACAUGAAAAAUGCUGUGCAGUCAGGCUGAAAAUUAAACAGAUGUGAGUUUCUUUAAUACAAAAGUUUAAUUAUUCUGACGUUUUCCAUAACUUAAUCUGAGCCAUCGCUUCAGCUUUAAUUAUGCAUAAUGAAAUGGAUUAUUUACAGUAACUCACAUGACAGGAAAAACUGAGAGGUGAGAAUUGGUAGCUUGGCAACUGUUGUUUAUUUUUCUUUUUAUUUGGCCAAUAUAUAUUGAGUACCUACUAUGUUUCAGCCCUUGCCAGGGUCCUAUUAGGAAAAAAUAGUGUGGCACAUGCCUGUAAUAUCAACACUUGGGGAGGCCGAGGUGGGAGAAUCGCUUGAGCCCAGAAGUUUGAGACCAGUUUGGGCAACAUAGGGAGACCUCCUCUCUAAAAAAAAAAAAUUUUAAUUAGCCUGGUGUGGUGGUGCACGCCUGUGGUCCCAGCUACUCCAGAGGCUGAGGUGGGCGGAUUGCUUGAGUCCAGGAGAUUGAGGCUGUAAUGAGCUAUGAUCGCGCUGCUACACUCUAGCCUGGGAGACAGAGUGACAGUGAGAUCCUGUCUCCAAAAAAAAAAAAAAAAAAAAAAGUAUUUUUAAAACACAUAGUAUGGGCCAGUUUCUUUCACUUCUUUCUCUUGUGUAUCGCUUGCGAUGAUACUGUGUAGCAGGUAUUAUUUUCCCUGAUUUACAGAAGUGAGUGGAACUGAGAUUCUGAAAGGUUAGGUAAAUUGCCAAAGGUGACACAGCAAAACUCCCUUUUGUUUUUUUGUUGUUGUUGUUGUUACCAUCUAUGUGCUUCAAACAGAGACCUAUCGACUAACUUUCCUAAUCUUAUUACCUUUCCUUCAUGCUUUAUAGAAGAAAAGUCAACUUUUCUUAAGGGAAACGUUCUUGUUAUUUUGAGCAGGAAAGUAAAUGACCAAAAUUGUACUUUGGGGAAAUUAACCUAAGUUUCUGUAGGAUGUGCUGCGGGCCAGAGCCCAGGCCAGAGGCAAGGACCUUAAGCCAGGGCAGUAGCAACAAGCAUGGGAAGGGGCCUGGCAGGAGGCCCUGGAGGCUGGAAAGGGCUUGUCAAAUGUUUGGAUGUGGUGGAAGGGAAGGGCAGCCUUGCCACCCUGGGUUUGGGAUGCAGGGGACACAGGGGACACUGGCAGGUGGCGCAGCCUGGGUCAAACCCCUCACUCUCUGAGCCCUUCUUGCUUGGCACCCUUGCAAAUAAAUGCCUUCCUUUCUAUUGCUGCAAAAACCUUGGCGUGGAUAUCCGGUUUUACUGCACAGGGUGAGUGGACCCAGUUUGGUUCCAUAACACUGUCUCCCUCUAUCCCUCGUUGGUGACCUCCGUGUAGCAGGUGCUAAAAGCUGGUUCACCUCUGGGGCAUGUGUAGUUUUCAGAGCACCUGUGGGGUCUUGUCCAGACUGGGAGGCUCUGACUCAACUCCCCAUCUUCUUCACUGCAUUCCUGCCCCCAGCCUUGGGCAGCUGGCCUCUCCUCCCCUAGCUGGCAGAGGAACGGGAGAGGUGGUCCAAGCCCAACUGCCUUCCACUGUGCCCACUACUUCUCUUACUGCACCAUGUCAAGGGGACAGGCCACUCCUCGGCCAUUCUCUCUCUGCUCUGCUGUUGCUCCUUCUCAGUGGAGACUAGACCCCAGCCCGCGUUUGUUCACAUGCCACAUCUUGUGCCCUGGCACAGGGCUGUGUGGAACAGAAAGGCAUCGUGAAGGGCAACACCUGCAUCACUCCCCAGUGGGCAGAAGCCUCACCACUCCAGUAAUCUUCCUUCACAGCCUUCUUCGAGGGCUGGAGGGGCGGUGGUGGGGGGUGGAGUCAGAGGGCAGUCUUCCACCUCAGGUCAGCCUCGAGGAGGGGUCUGCUCCCAGCUCUCAGAUCUUGUCUUUAGAACGAGUGCCAGUUAAUUCCCAAGUCUGAAUCCUACUCAUUGAUUCAGGACAGCAGAAAAACUCCCACUUCCCGCCCCUGUUUCUGGAAAUGACCACAAGCCUGGCUACAGGGCCACUGAGACCAUCAUGGGUGGACUAUGCAUGUCCAGCUCUUAGUGUGGUCUCCGUGUCUCGGUUUUCUCUUUUGACUUCUCUUUUGGAGCUCUUGGUUGAGACACUUGGUGAGUGUGGACUUUUAAGGUAAACUCUGAGCUGACCAGGACUGGCUGGUUGGUCUCUUGGGUGCUGUGCAGUCACAGAAGCAGGUAAUCAAAGAACAAACAGUCCUGUGGUGUUUGGAGUCUCCCUUGGCUACCGCCAAAGCCUCUGUUUGAUUUCUUGCAUGGCAACAAAACCAGGAGGGGAAGCUGAGUGGCUUCUGGAAUAAACUUUGGGUGUGAGACGGGAUUCAGGCUGCGGCUAAUGUGCUGGAAGCACGCACAGUUGUGACCAUCAAGUAUGCAAGAAGCAAUCAUUCUCCUGGCUCUCCUGGGUGCCAUGUCAGGGGGAGAAACACUACACCUAAUCCUCUUACCUGCUACAGGCAAUGUGGCAGAGAAUUCUCCACCUGGGACUUCAGUGCACAAGUUUUCUGUGAAGUUAUCAGCAUCACUGUCACCUGUGAUCCCAGGAUUUCCCCAGAUAAUCAACUCAAAUCCCCUCACUGAAGCUUUUAGGGUGAAUUGGCUGUCAGGCACCUACUUUGAGGUUGUCACCACUGGGAUGGAACAACUAGAUUUUGAAACAGGACCAAACAUAUUUGAUUUGCAGAUUUAUGUGAAGGAUGAGGUUGGUGUCACAGACCUGCAAGUCCUGACUGUCCAGGUAACAGAUGUGAAUGAGCCACCUCAGUUUCAAGGCAACUUGGCGGAAGGUCUAUACCUCUACAUAGUAGAAAGAGCAAACCCUGGAUUCAUUUACCAGGUUGAGGCCUUCGAUCCAGAAGACACAAGCCGAAACAUUCCCCUCAGUUAUUUCCUGAUUUCUCCCCCAAAGAGCUUCAGAAUGUCUGCUAAUGGCACCCUCUUCUCCACAACAGAAUUGGACUUUGAAGCAGGACACAGAAGUUUCCAUCUCAUCGUGGAGGUGAGGGACAGUGGAGGCCUCAAAGCCUCCACAGAGCUCCAGGUGAACAUCGUGAACCUCAACGACGAAGUCCCUCGCUUUACCAGCCCGACACGAGUGUACACAAUCCUGGAGGAACUGAGUCCAGGAACCAUCGUGGCCAAUAUCACAGCGGAGGAUCCUGAUGAUGAAGGUUUUCCCAGCCACCUCCUCUACAGCAUUACCACUGUUAGCAAAUAUUUCAUGAUAAAUCAGUUGACUGGUACAAUCCAAGUGGCCCAAAGGAUAGACCGAGACGCAGGUGAAUUGAGACAAAAUCCCACCAUUUCCCUGGAAGUUCUAGUGAAGGACAGACCAUAUGGGGGUCAGGAGAAUCGCAUCCAGAUAACCUUCAUUGUGGAAGACGUCAACGACAAUCCUGCCACAUGCCAAAAGUUCACCUUCAGCAUUAUGGUGCCGGAAAGAACAGCCAAGGGGACGUUGCUUCUUGACCUGAACAAGUUCUGCUUUGAUGAUGACAGUGAGGCACCAAACAACAGAUUCAACUUCACCAUGCCAUCUGGAGUGGGGAGCGGCAGCAGAUUUUUACAGGAUCCAGCUGGCUCUGGGAAAAUUGUGCUGAUUGGUGAUCUAGACUACGAAAAUCCAAGUAACCUAGCAGCCGGCAAUAAAUAUACGGUGAUAAUCCAGGUGCAGGAUGUGGCCCCCCCUUACUAUAAAAAUAACGUCUACGUUUAUAUCCUAACAAGCCCAGAAAAUGAGUUUCCUCUCAUUUUUGAUAGGCCAUCCUAUGUAUUUGAUGUGUCAGAAAGAAGGCCGGCCAGAACCCGAGUGGGACAGGUGCGAGCCACUGAUAAAGACCUCCCCCAGAGCAGCCUCGUGUACUCCAUCUCCACCGGAGGGGCCAGCCUCCAGUAUCCAAAUGUAUUUUGGAUUAAUCCCAAGACAGGAGAACUCCAGCUGGUAACUAAAGUGGACUAUGAAACAACCCCCAUCUAUAUUCUCAGAAUCCAGGCCACCAACAACGAAGACACAAGCUCUGUCACUGUUACUGUGAACAUCCUUGAAGAAAAUGAUGAAAAGCCAAUUUGUACUCCAAACUCUUAUUUCCUGGCCCUCCCAGUGGAUCUGAAAGUUGGCACAAAUAUUCAGAAUUUCAAGCUGACGUGUACCGACCUUGAUUCCAGCCCCAGAUCUUUCCGUUAUUCCAUUGGCCCAGGUAACGUCAACAAUCAUUUCACCUUCUCUCCCAAUGCUGGUUCCAAUGUCACACGCCUGCUGCUUACAUCUCGCUUUGACUAUGCUGGUGGGUUUGAUAAGAUCUGGGACUACAAGCUACUUGUCUACGUAACUGAUGACAACUUGCUGUCUGACAGGAAGAAAGCGGAGGCUCUUGUUGAGACAGGAACAGUGACACUGAGUAUUAAAGUCAUUCCCCACCCAACCACUAUCAUCACCACGACCCCCAGGCCCAGGGUCACCUAUCAGGUCCUGAGGAAAAACAUUUACUCUCCAUCUGCAUGGUACGUGCCAUUUGUCAUCACUUUGGGCUCCAUAUUGCUUCUGGGUCUCCUCGUGUACCUGGUCGUCCUAUUGGCCAAAGCCAUCCACAGACACUGCCCCUGCAAGACUGGGAAGAACAAGGAACCUCUUCAACCCCUGUAUCUCAAAGGGCAUAGUUGCCCAAAGAACCCUAUGGUGUCAUGUGUGUGCCAGUGCAGCAUACUUUCAAGUGAAUUAAUAGCCAUUCUUUUUCCCCCCAUAGGACAAAGAAAGGAGGUAUGUACAGUACCUGUUUCCCUUGUCUGUUGUUUUUUGCUUGCUCUGUUGUGCUACGUAAAAAGGUUCCUACUCGGCAAAGAAUCAGGCCGCGAUCACAUCUUGGAGCAUUUUCAGCUGCAUCUUCUGUGGCUGGAAGGAAGCGGAGGUCGGUUGCAGCUGGAGAAUGGGAAGGGUGGGGGGACAGUGCCUUGGCCUGCCUGGAUAUCUCAAUUUGGUCCUGCCUAUGCCCUACCUAGAGCCCUCGCCAAUCAUCUCAGCUGAACACCUAGGUCUGUGCCUUGCUGCAUGGCACAGGAAGAAAGAACUCUCCGUGUGUUAAAUGUAGACAGGACCUGCUUACUGCGGCCCAUGGAGGGUGUCCUGAGGACAGCUAAUGCUUUGUGCUGGACACAGGCCUCUUUUGAAAGAACAGAUAAGGCUGGGCGCAGUGACUCACACCUGUAAUCCCAGCACUUUGAGAGGACGAGGUGGGUGGAUCACAAGGUCAGGAGUUUGAGACCAGCCUGGCCAGCAUGGUGAAACCCCGUCUCUACUAAAAAUACAAAAAAUUAGCCGGGCAUGGUGGUACGCACCUGUAGUCCCAGCUACUCGGGAGGCUGAGGCAGGAGAAUUGCUUGAACCCAGCAGGUGGAGGUUGCCGUCAGCCAAGAUCACGCCACUGCACUCCAGACUGGGCGACAUAGUGAGACUCUGUCUCAAAAAAAAAAAGAACAGAUAAUACUUGAUUCCCAGAUUCUAAUGGAUUUGAUCAUUUCCACAAAUUAUUUAGGUUAGACUAGUGAGAAGGGGGAGAUGAGGGUGGUGAGAUGGGCUGAGAGCUGACUGACUUCAGAGAAGUGGGUAAAUUGGGAAGGUCCAUCUGAGCAGCUCCAGGUCUGAGGAGGUGUCCUGGCUUGGCCUCAAGUAGACUCCAGAGUAUGGGGGAGACAGGACAAAGAAUUGGACAGUGUUUUAAUUAAAAAAAAAAAAAGUUUGCUUUAAUCACUCCAUCUACAGGCAUGUGUCUGACAUGCUUAAGGCAUGUCUCAACAGGGUUAGAAAUUUGAUUAUAGUGGUUAUUGAUCAUAUUGACAGAGAUGAUUUUAAUAAAUGAGAUUUUCACAAACUGUCUCUAAUCCCACUUUUUAAAAAGGGGAUGGGGGCUGGGCAUGGUGGCUCACACUUAUAAUCCCAGCACUCUGGGAGGCCAAGGCUAGAGGAUCACUUGAGCCCAGAAGUUCGAGACCAGCUUGGGCAACAUAGUGAAACCCUGUCUGUAGAAAAAAAUUUUUUAAAUUAGCUGGGUGUGAUAGUGUACGCCUGUAGUCUUAGCUACUGGGGAGAUAGCUGAGAGGAUCACUUGAGCUCAAGAGGUCAAGGCUGCAGCGAGUUGUGACCACACUCUAGCCUGGACGACAAGAGUGAGACCCUGUCUCAAAAUAAAAUAAAUAAAAUAAAACAAAAUAAAAUAAAAUAAAAUAAAAGGGCUUGGGAAUUAAUGCACAAAACCCACACCUUAUGAACAGAGGUAUCCAAUCCAAUCUUUCUUUAAAAGCCAUGUAAAAGCCAGUUUUCUAGGUCCACUGAUAAUAAGCUAGAAAAAGAAUAAAAAACAACUAAAUUGUUUGAAUAUUAUUGUGUGUGUGUGUAUACAUAUGUGUAUGUAUUUUUUUCUGAGAAGAUGGAAAGUUGUCAAGAAACAUAUCUAUAGACAGAACAAUUCUUUGCUGUGUCUGCAAGACUGAGAUCGAAGCCUAUUUAGGGGAAAUACCAUUGUGGAGGUGGAAUUUUAAGGUCAAUUUACCACCCAAGAAGCUUAACUUCUGCCUGUUCUGUUCUCUGCAGAAACGAAGACUGCAGAGAGAGACGUCGUGGUGGAAACUAUCCAGAUGAACACUAUCUUUGAUGGAGAAGCCAUAGAUCCAGUGACCGGGGAAACAUAUGA